GACGUAGGGCGCGAGCGUUGUCCGGAUUUAUUGGGCGUAAAGAGCUCGUAGGCGGCUUGUUGCGUCGACCGUGAAAACCCGGGGCUCAACUUCGGGCUUGCGGUCGAUACGGGCGAGCUAGAGUUCGGUAGGGGAGACUGGAAUUCCUGGUGUAGCGGUGAAAUGCGCAGAUAUCAGGAGGAACACCGGUGGCGAAGGCGGGUCUCUGGGCCGAUACUGACGCUGAGGAGCGAAAGCGUGGGGAGCGAACAGG
rnacentral:rRNA from 1 species